AAAUUGAAGAGUUUGAUCAUGGCUCAGAUUGAACGCUGGCGGCAGGCCUAACACAUGCAAGUCGAACGGUAACAGAAAGAAGCUUGCUUCUUUGCUGACGAGUGGCGGACGGGUGAGUAAUGUCUGGGAAACUGCCUGAUGGAGGGGGAUAACUACUGGAAACGGUAGCUAAUACCGCAUAACGUCGCAAGACCAAAGAGGGGGACCUUCGGGCCUCUUGCCAU
rnacentral:rRNA from 1 species